CCUCCUUAGAGUUUUUUUUUUAAUGGUAUCUCUAUUCAUAAAAGGUACUUAGUAAAAUUGCACGGGAAGUUGAAAAACCAAAGAGAAAUUUAUUUUUUUGCCAUGUCUAAUAUUAUUCAUCCCUCUAAGUCUGCAUGAAAUUCAAAUAUUAAAAGACUCUUUGGGGGAUUAAAUCCUACUUAGAAAAUAAGGCAAUAUAGGGAGUGUGUGAAAGUAAUAAAAAAUUUCAAGCACCAGAUUAAAAUAUUUGCUUCACUUGGAAAAAAUAAUUAUGCUAUUUUCUAGUGCAAAUGAUUACUAGUAAAUGGAAGUGUUUUGUUUCUUCUUGCUCCCUUUGACUGAAGUGUAAUUCACACCAGACAGUCAACAGGCACAACUGUAGUCUCAUAAAAAUGGAGUAAUUUGGGGAGGAUUGUUAAGUCAAAGAAUGCCAAAGAGAUGGGAGGCAUUUUCACUAGCAGGGUUUGAACAAAAUAUUCAAGUGAACAGAUGCAGCUUACUGGCUUGUGGGACACACUAUACAUUUUCAUCUAUGCCUUAAUUAUCUUAAUUCAGGCAGCUGAGACAUGAAAGGCGCUUUCCCUUUCUUGUUUAAUUUUUAAAGAGACUAGAGUCCACUGCUUGCUGGUGUAUCUAUGGUUUGCGAACCACGGGUGAAGAAAUGCCUUUAACUAGCUUUGAUCUGGAGAGCAAUGGUGCUCAAACAAGCAUAUGAUGAGUGGCUGGGAAGCAGGCAAAAUGCAAAUUUCCAGGUCCCAUCAGUGACUCUGAGCCCACAGGGGUGGCAUGGAAACUAGACCAUUUUUGAGAUACUGAUCUGAGCCUGCUGGGAAAGUCCUGAGAAGAGGAUGUGCUUCGUCAUUUACGUCACCUGCCACCUGGAUCAGCCUAGACUCUCCACUGAAACAUUCUUGGCCAUGUCUAUAGUCCUCUGGUCCAUCCCAGGGCUUCUCUUCUUGCUUGAAAGUUACUUUAGUUCUUAUCAAAUUGUGAUAAACAAAAUGGAACAUUUAAUUUCAGAUUUAUCUUAGGAAGAGGGAAGCUAACGAAUUAAGAAAUUUCCAAGGAUAGCAUAAAACCUGGAGGAACGAGAAACAAAAGGAGCUCUCUGUUCAGAUUCCUGUCUCUGAAAUCCAGGAACAAAACAAAUUAGAAGAGCCUAAGAGUUUUGAAGAUUUUAAGUCUCUGAGCAAUCCAAAUCCUUUCGAAGUUGAAGAAUAUCUUUUUCUCAACAAACAGAAGCAUCCUUUUUAUGUUAAUACAGUCAUGCAAAGAAACAAUGACAGAAUAGUUGGUAUGGGAGUAAUGCCCUGAAAGAGAUGAGUCACUGUCUGAGGCAGAAACCGGAAGGCGUAAAGCUCCCUGUGGGGAAUACAACAAAGACGUGGGAACCAUUAUAGGACGAUCGACGUUGCCUCUGCCAUCACCUGGGUUUGUGAAUGGCUUCAUCAGCACUUCAUGCUAACACUAUUAAAUACGAAGUGUCAAGCUCAGCACUCACAGAAGGUGACCUGGACUAGAGCCAGGCCCCCAGCUGAGCCUGUGAUGAGCAUCCAGGAGCUGCUCGAAUGAGGGAUCAAUGACUUGCAAGUUUACCAGGCAGAAUAAUGAAUAGAAGUGGGACAACUGCAAGCAAAAUUGGCAUGAGAAAUGAGGGUACUGAGAGAGUGGCCAAGAGUAGGGCACAGCUGCAGAAAGUUGAGGAACUAGCCCGCUAGAAUCUGACCUGGGAGGUACAAACACAGCGCGGAAAACUUGGUAGUCCUAUGAGGAUUUUGGGGGCAGAGAAAAUACUCUGUAUGAUACCAUAAAGAUGAAUACAUGUCUUUAAACGUUUGUCCAAACCCAUAGAAUGUACAACACCUCUCUGGCGGGGGAUGUUGAUAAUGGGGGAGAUUAUGUUUGUGACGGGCCAGGAAAUCUCUGUACUUUUCCCUCAAUUUUGCUGUGAACCUAAAAUUGCUCUAAAAAAGAAAAAUGAAGUCAAUAAAAAAAAGUUUUUUGUAAGGAAUAAACACACUAAGAUGUUUAUAUGAGCAAUCAUUUUGGUUAGUUUCAAUACAAUGCUAUCUAAAAGAUAUGGCUAGUUGUAUACUUGCAUCUUCUGCUAAAAUGAUAUUUGAACACCUCCAAGGCUAUAAGCUUGCAUGACCAGGAUGAGAAUAGAGCCUAUUGAGAAGCACGAGGAAGAUGAGUUGGAAGAUGAACUGGAAGAUGAGUUGGUUGUAGAGGAAAGAUUAUGAUUUCUACUUAGAAGGACUUUCUAUCUCAAAUAUUCAUACCACUAAAAGAAUGCUGAAUGUUAAUAAUGACAUUUAAUGUUAUAGUAGUAUUAAAAUAGAGUUGCUGUAUUUUUCUUAGAGAGUAAUAAAAAUUGAUAAGGAUUUUGAGACACACUUCUAUUUCUCAUUUAAUUGCACUCUUUGUAUCCACACCAGCCCAUCAAUGUAAGAUAAGAGAAAACACAGGUUUGUAUUACCCAGUUGGAUGCUACGCUGAUAUUUACUAAUAGAACUCUGCUGAUACAGAAGUAGAUAGUAAAAUAAGUUUUAUGUCAAUUGCUCAGGUAUUUUAGGAGGAGAAGAUAAGAUUAUGUUGAAAAGUAAACUGUAAGUUCCUUCGCUGGAGUUGCUGUGAGUUUUUAUUUCUUUACAUGUCCUAGUUUGUGAAAUGCUCACACGUGAGGCAUGCCAGGACCUAAGCCGACAGGGAGGAGACAGAAGCUAGGGAAGGAGCCUGGGAAAUACAACCUAAUGCAAUAGCUGCCGCCACCUGUAGCAGCUAAGUGAUUCAUUGUACAAAAGGCAAGCGUAGCCCCAGUUGAGGUUAUUUCUAAGAUCUAAGGGUGUCCAGCGGUUAAGUGGGGCAGGGAUAAAGUAGAAAGUCAUUGUGUCAGUUCAUACUCAAAAACAAGUGGGCGUCAGCAUCAUUUUAACUAUUUAAUUCAUGGCGGAAAUACAGCCAGUGAACCGGAGGCUGGGGAGGAGUGAGGAGGUAAUGGUCAAAGGAAAGCAAGGUCUAGCCUCUGGGAGGGAAGCUUAAGGUAGAUAAGGAGAUUUGGGGUGGUGUUCAAGCCUAGGUUGGCGGAAGGGGUAUUAAAAUCAUAAGCAGAGGAAAUUGAGGCAUAAUAUGGCUGAGAUGAACUGGCCCAAUUGGUACUCCCAUUAUUAGCAAUAAACAUAAAAGUGAUAAUAGCCACCGUCUAUUGGAUACUUAGUGUGUACCAGUACAUUUUAUACAUCCUCUCAUCUGAAUUCAAGCUGUAAAACAGCCCAAUGAAGUAGUUACUAGGGUCUCCAUUUUUAGAGAUGAGGAAAGUAAUUACUGGAAGAUUUAAUAACUUGAGCAAAGUCAUACAAUUAGUAACAAGCAGAGAUGGAAUUUGAGUGCAGGCUUUCUGAUGCUCACACCGGCGCGCUUGAGUACUACUACAUAGUACUAGGGGUUAAAUUCUCUGACAAAAUUCUGUCCUACUUAGGAUUUGAUGAGGAACUUGAUGACCUGAACCAACCGCUGGAGGGAUCAGAGACAAACUUUAAAGGACUGAAGCAUUCUCUCUUUCUUCCAUACCAUCUAACUCCGGGGCCUUACAUUCCAUUGUUGAAUAUUUAUUGUUCAUUUUCUUAUUGCUUUUAAAUCCAAGUUAGGAAGAUUAAGGAGAGAACAACAACAAAACCUUCUCCUCUGCUAUGCCAGGAUGGAGAUUUAUGCUGCUUGGGAAAAAGAAAUUUUCUUCUCCAGAGAGGCAAGAUGCGAUAUGUAUCUUCCCAUAAAUCAUGAACCUUCAGGAUCCGGCUGUAGUCACCAUCUGUACACGUUUGAACAGUUGGCCAAUUAUGUCAAUUGACCCAAUUUAAUAAAUUUAUGUAUAACUUGAGUUAGACAUCUAGUGGCUAGCUAAAGAAUGUUUGUCUUUUCAGGUGUUCU
ensembl:lncRNA